GCUGGGAGAAAGGAGGGUAUUUCCUCCAUUCUGCUCCUCAGUUGGGAGCAGAACUGAGACUGGGCCACUUCCUCUUUUUGGGUCCUCUGACGCGUUCCCUGUCCUCUCUGCCUCCCCCUCGUUUUCCUGACUUCCGUAGUCUGACCGGCUAGCACGGCUUUCUUUACCCUGGAUUCUACAUGUUUCCGUUGGGGGCAGAUUCCAGCUGAUUCAGAAACGAUAAGGGAGAAGAUGCUGAGAAAUCUGGCUUCAAGUCUGGUUGGUGUGGGCAUUGGCUGGGCACCCAGACCCAUGGCCGUGCCAGCACCGACCCCCCCCCCCCACCCAGGCCCUCCUUCUCCCCUUAACUAUUCCUCAUCUCACUGGCCCCAGGAGCCAGGAAGCGGUCACGAGUGUCAGCAGUUCCGUGGCCCUUCCCAUGUUCACUGCCACCAGGUUCCUCUUUGGUGUCUUUGCCAGGGCUGCCUUUGCCUAGAAUGCCUUCUCCUCCCCACUCCCCCCACCCCCAGCCACAUCUAGUCUCCACGGUUGGCUUAAGUCUCAUCUUGCCUGUGGCCUCCCUCAGGACUCUAGACUUGAGGUCACCCGAUCAGGCAGGGUUACAUCCCACAGGUUUUUAGUAACUGCUAAAAGUGGAGUCCAUAGGCGGGGCUUAAUAGAUGCCUGCUGAGUGGAGAGAAACACCCAGUUUCUCUGGCCACAGAAGGCUGCCUUGUCCUAGAGAAAGACGCCAAGGUGACAUGAGGAAGAGCAGAAACUGCUGAUACAAUAUGCAGUCUGCAGAGUACAACGCAUUUCCAUGCGUGUUACUGUGUCUUGAACCUUGUAGCAACCUUGUGACGUGGAGAUGAUUACUGGUCCCAUUUUACAUAUGGAGAGGCUGAGGCUCAGAGAGGUGUAUGCUUUGCCUAAGGCUGCACAGCCAGCCACAUUGACUGCAUUGGAGCCUGAGUAGAAUCUGAGGCCUCACAGAUGCAGCCUGAUCUCGGGGCUGGUGGGAGGAGGGUUGAACACUGUAGAACAGGGUCUGGUCUUGACCUGUCCUGCCAUGCUGUGUGGCCAUGGGCUGUCACUUCACCACCCUGGGCUUCAAUUUCAGCAUCUGGCCAUCGAGGACUGGACUACUUCUCCAAAGUUCCUCUCUUUUACUUGAAGGAGAAAAAGAGUUUCACCUUCUAAUCUCUGUACUCUCUGUGUUUAGCACAGCACCUGUCACUUGGUAGGCAUUCAAUACACAAAAGAGGCAAGUAUACUACAAAGUGUAGUUAUAACUCUCUAACUCAGGAGGUGGCAGCCGAAAGGUGAUGGCUGCAGUUCCCUUAGACCCUGAUGGUUUAGGAUCCUAAAUAUUACUCAGUCUUUCUUUGACCUUGGCUAGGUCUGACCAGCUCACGAGACUGGACCAUUCCCGACCGAGCCCUUCUUGAGCAGGAAGGUAAAACGCUAACAUUUGCUGAACAAAGAUCUGUGCAAAGCAGGGACUUCAAAUGCACUGUGUCACUUCAUCCUCCCAGCCUCACAGGUGAGGGAACAGAGGCUCAGGGUCUGGUGAAAUGAUUUGCUUAAGGCUAGGCAAGAAUGUGUUGUCUUUAUAACUCUUGCUCACUUUUAGCCUCUGCCCAAGCUAGCAGCUCCCUGAGCUCCCUGGCCCCCUCGCUCUGGUCUCUAAUCUCUUUCCCAGGUCCCCUCGUGUGGUGAGAAGGGCUUCUCAGAAGCCUGGCCUCUUCAGGCCUUGUCCUCAGCCCUGAGCUUCCCACUGACCCAUUCCUCAUUCUUUCUUUUAUUUUUUAUAUCCCCUUUCACCUCCAAAUCAUCAAAUUCUGUGCAUUCUUUAGGUCAUCUCAAUUUUCACUUCUCCAGAGAAACUUCUUCAACAUCUAUGGAUCUUCUUGUCUUCUGAGUUUUAAUUACAAAUACUCUCUGGCUACCAUAACUUAAUUCUUGAUCAUUCCCUUGUAUUUAUUCAUUCAUGCAGUUUCUCUAAUAGGCCAGGAACUGUGCUAGGCACUGUGUAGGAAUCCAGUCUCUCUUGAGAUUAACCUCGCUUUCUCCUAUUUGAUGGGUACUUUUUGCGGCAAAAUUCAGAUCUUAUACUUUUUCUGAGUUCUUUAUGGUACCUUGCACGGCUCUGGCCAUAGCCAGGAACUCCUCAGGAAAUUAUGUUGAAAGAUUCUUCAGUCUCUUCAGGGAAUCUUGGGUGUUGCUUCAUCCCUGGUCCAAUCCCAGGUGCUCGGAAAACCAAAACUUUCGAUUUUCUCUUUCCGUCCUCAAUCAUGUUCAACCCUUUGAUCAUCAACUGAUACAGAUCUGGAGAAAGUGCUCACAGUGACUUUUUCUAUUUGAGAGAUAAUGGCCAAACCCAUGAAGUAGCUGGACAGGUGAGGGGGGAGCUCUGCUCUCCUGUAGCUUCCUUUUCAGCUGUAAUGACCUUGCUCCAUGCCACUGACCACGGUUGGAGGGCCCAGUGUCUAUGGUGUCCCUCUCUCUGGCCCAGGGUUCUGAGAACCUCACAGUGGGAGUAGAUCAGUCUAUCAUUACUUUUUUAAAGUGCUUAGUGAUCAAAAACCAUCUAGAAACAGUGAUAUUUAAGCAGAUCUGGUACAAAACAGGAAGCCAGUGGCCUGGUGAAUUCUCACACUUGGGGACCAGAAGUGAAAAUGUUCUGUCUGCCCAGAGCAGCAACAGGCCAACAAAACAACAGGUGGGGAAGUGCUAGAGAUCCUGGUAGACUCCCUGUCUCUUGGAUUUUUCCUGCAGAGACAUGGGGGUAGUCUCCCCAUCCCCAAAGCCUAGGAUGAGGUUUCUCAUACACAAGCAGGGAGCCGUAGAGAGGCAGAGGGGUGGAAAAUGUAAGAAGCCUCAUCUUCAGGUCUAGCCCCAGGAGUUGGUGGGUCCCAGGUGCCUUGUUUGUAUAAGGCUGCCACUGGACUUAAGGAUUCUCAGGCCCCUUCCAGCUGCAAGGCUAUUUCAGAGUGUGGGUGACUUCAGUUCCACAGUGCUGGGGGAGGGAGGCAGGGAAGGAGGGAGGCAGAGACACCUCUGAGAGUGUGUGUGUGUGUGUGUGUGUGUGUGUGUGUGUGUGUGUGUGUCCACUGCAGAGGUGAGCCAAGGAAGAGACGGAUCGUGUCUUGUCACCGGCUGUAUUCCCAGAGGGCCCACCCAUGACAGGUGCUCAAUGAAUGUUUGCUGAAGGGGUGAAUGGCUGCAUGUUCAAUGUUUUCACGGUCCCUUGCCUUGCCUCCUCACCACAUCCCCUUGCUCUAGGCUUCCUCUUUAGUCUGUAGCCCUGAGUCCCUCCAACACCUAAGAGCUAUAGGGUGAAAACAGCAGAGAAGGGAAUAAUCAUGGUAUAAUAUGAUGAAGCCGAGAAGAUGACGAGCCUGAAAAUAAAAUCAAAUUUAUAUCCUGACUGCUUUCAUUUCAGAUCGGUCUAAUGUCUCCCAAGUAUACGUUCAGCCUCAGGCUACCAUUACCACAUUGCCAUCUCAUAUGUGAACAUUAUACUACUUCACCAUCUUUCACAUGCUUUUCUCUGUGAGGAAAUCCACUCCUUCAGGCAUUCAUUUAUGCAUCCAAAAAUGUACUGAGCACCUAUGCUAUAUAUUAGCCAUUGGUUGGGUGUGAAGGAUACAGAGAGAAAUCAAGAGGAGUCUCUGCUCUCCAAGAGCUCACAGUGAAAUGAGCAUGGAAUGUUGUAUGUUCAAUGACAGCAGUAUGCCCAAUGCAUUCAUGAGAGGAGUCAGAUUGAAGAUUACUCUCUCCAUGUGGCAGAUGAGAAGACUGAGGCAUGACAAGAUUGAGCUGGGUGACGGUAGAACUCAGGUCUCCUGAGUUCCAUUCCACUCCUGAGCAUUCUGUUCACUCCCUGGGUGUGUUGCCUCUUCCCUUUUGCCCUUGGGGCAUCUCCAGACCAGCCACCUUGGCUUGGAAGCUUGUCCAUGGAUUGGUCCUUUCAGCCUGGGUGGACUGAUGGGCACUUCCUCCAUGUGAGGAAGUUUUGCUUUCUUCACUCCAUUGUAUCAUGCCACACAGUGCUUGUUCUACUAGAUGUGUGGUUUCUUUGCCCCAGGUUUGAACCGUGGGCUCAGAUCUUACAAUAUCUCAAGUUUUGGAAGUCUCCCAACCUCACUUAGCAUAAUCUAAUAAAUCGUGUAUUUUACUCCUUUCAGUUUAGUCCAACAAAUGUGCAUUGAACACUCUAGCUGGACCAAAUGGCCCUCCUAUGGACCGCUGUGCACAUCUCCAUCACAGCACGUUCAGCUGAUGCUUCUUAUGAUCCCUUACAUCCUCUUGGCCCCACCCCUGAUUCUGGCCAGUUCUGAGUGGGCUCUGACUGACUUUGUGCUAACCAGUCUCUUCUGCAGUGCCCACUGCACAUCACUUGCUUUCUGCCCUGGCUCCUUCUGUUCUGGGGGAGCCCAUGCAGCCCUGUUCACCAGCAGCCCGAGAGUACAGAUGAGUCAACAUCUCUGGGGCAAGCCUCAGCCAGUGAAGUUCAGGAGCUGAUGGAUUAGGAAUUCUACUGUCAGUGCUCAGGGGACAGUUGGAAGAGGCCUCUAUUAUGCUCCAAGAAACAUUCCAGUGGGAUCAGGGUCCAGUUGCUCUCAGCAUGACCAGCCUGAUAACAUAUUCUUGUUUUGGCUUUUCCUUCUCCUGUUCCCUCACCCUUGUUCCCUCUGAUUGCCUUCUAAAUAAACCACCUGCCCACAAUUCCUUGAAUCAGGCUCUGCUUCUGGAUGGGGCAGUCUAGGCUAAGGCAGCACUUACAGCCUUAUAUUGUAAGUCUGUGUUCAUUUAUUUACUUGCUCAUUCAUUCCUUCAACAAAUACAAACUGAAGUUGGGGAAUGUAGGAGUGAACAAAAGAGAUAAAGUCCCUGUCUUUACAGAUCUUAUAUUUUAUUGGGAGAGACAGACUAUGAGCAAAUAAACACAUAAAUCGAUCAUGUCACUUCAGAUAAUGAUAAGUGCUCUGAAGGAAGUAAGCUGGGGAUAGAGGGAUGAAGUAGAGAUGGGGCGGAUACUUGGGGAGGGUGGUGAGGAGAGACUUCUUCAAAGAGUCUCCAUUUGAGGAGACACGUGAAUUAAAUGAGGAGGGAAUGCAGGAUAAGACCUGGGAGGAACAAGGGCAAAUGACCUGAGAUGGAAAUUAGCUUGAAGCAGAGUGGGCAGGGGGAGGCUGCAGCAGGUGUGUCGAGAGAGUGGGCAGAUACCAGCUCAUCUGGAUUUGGACCAAGAGCAAAGGAGAGGGCUUCCAGCAGGGGAAUAACAUGACCUGAGUCGUAUGUUAUAAAGAUCACGUUGGCUACUGCACUAGAGUAAGUAUACUGUACAGAUCAUGCUGAAUUAGACUAACGGAGCCGGAGUGGAAAUAGAGGGGCAGGAAGGGGAUGAACAGUGGUCCAGGUGAGACAUGAUAAUGGAUUUGACCAGGAUGAUCAUGUGGGGGUGGUGACAAGUGGUUGGGUUCACCAUCUGUUUGGAAGGUGGAGCUGAUAGGACCUACCUGAUGGAUCAGAUGUGGGUUGUGAAGGGAUGACUCCUGGUUUUUUGUUAUGAACAACUGGGUAAAUGAUGGUGCAUUUACUCAGGAGGGGAAGACUGGGGGAGGAAUGAGUGUGUGAGGGAGUCAAGAGUUCUGCUGCAGACAUAUUUUUGAGAUGCAUGCUAGACAUCUAAAUGGAGCUGCUCAGGAGGCAGCAGAGUUAGGGAGAAGUCCUGCUUGGGCGUUUGGAAGUCACCAGCAUCCAGAUGGCAUUUAAAGGUAUGGACUGGGUGGUACCAUCUAGGAGCAGUGAGGAGAGAAGGGUUGAGUUUAAUAGAACAAGCAGCAAAUCAUCAAGUUAUUCUCGAAAGCAGUGACUCUCAGACUUUAAUGUAUAUGGGAAUCACCUGCAACUUGAUCACCUGGAACUUGUUUAUUAAGCAGGUCCCUGGGAACUAGCCUUAGAAAUUCUGGGCCUUGAGGAAAAGCUUAGGAAGACAAGUACCCCCAGGUGAUUUGAGUGCCCUGGGGGAUAGGUAGAGGGGUGCCUAGGAUUUGCAUGACUAGGUAGCAGGAUCCUGAAGAAUGUUUCUGUUCUCUCCAGGGCCAUCAUGAGGACUUAACCUCCACCAGCCCCUCCUUCCUUGUGCAGGUAGAGGUAUACAGGUGUGGCACCCACACCCAGACCUUUGCUCGUCAUGUACCAAUCAUCACCAGCACCCCUCCCUGUGCCUACUCCAGAGCUAACCAGCCCCACAGAUCAGCUGAUUUACUACAAACCCUCAGCUGCACCCUUGUGAUGGGCUGUGAUUGUCCAAGGAACAACAUGGCACCAAUGACAGUGGGGUCUGCAAGACAGGUGCCCAGCAUAGGCAUGGCUAAGAGCAGAGGAAUGGCAGCCUGCUUUUCCUCUGGUUGGGCGAUCAUGAGAUGAAGAAACUGGAACUUAGUAAGAAACUUGCCCAAGGUCACAGAAAAUAAAUGUUAACAUGACGACUUGGACCUGAUUUGAGCCUAAGUCCUCAGUCUUGGUAGCUUAAAGUGACAUCGCACAUCUACUCAUUAUCAUUCUCGAUCGUCAACAACUUGAUGCCUCUACCAGCCACUGUGUCAUCAGAAAUCUGAUUGGUUUCCCAAGAUUCCUGUGGUUCUGACAAUUUAUUGGAAGAAAGAACACAUGUCACUCAUUUACAGAGCCUGCGUUCAAGGCACAUUCACAUCCUCGUUGUCAGUGGAACCUCACACCCUUAUGAAUGAAACAAGUCAGACAACGUUUUCUGGUUUCACAGAUGAGGAAAAGUGGCUUUCCCACGGUCACACGGCUAGAAACAGUGAAAUCAGAAUGAGAACUCCUAGGCUAUCGAAAUACCCAGAACUCUUUCCCUGUAUCUUGCUGCUGCUUCAAUAAAUAAAUGAACAAAAUAAAUAAAUAAA